CCCAGCACUUACGUGCUGGGCUAGACUCUGUCGCCUCCUUCGGAGGCU
rnacentral:sRNA from 1 species